UACGAAGGGGGCUAGCGUUGCUCGGAAUUACUGGGCGUAAAGGGAGCGUAGGCGGACAUUUAAGUCAGGGGUGAAAUCCCGGAGCUCAACUCCGGAACUGCCCUUGAUACUGGGUGUCUUGAGUGUGAGAGAGGUAUGUGGAACUCCGAGUGUAGAGGUGAAAUUCGUAGAUAUUCGGAAGAACACCAGUGGCGGAGGCGACAUACUGGCUCAUUACUGACGCUGAGGCAUGAAAGCGUGGGUAGCAAACAGG
rnacentral:rRNA from 1 species